rnacentral:rRNA from 1 species
AGGAUGAACGCUGGCGGCGUGCUUAACACAUGCAAGUCGAACGGUGAAGCAGGAGCUUGCUCUUGUGGAUCAGUGGCGAACGGGUGAGUAACACGUGAGUAACCUGCCCUUGACUCUGGGAUAAGCACUGGAAACGGUGUCUAAUACCGGAUACGACCUCCGAAGGCAUCUUCUGGAGGUGGAAAGAAUUUCGGUCAAGGAUGGACUCGCGGCCUAUCAGCUAGUUGGUGAGGUAAUGGCCCACCAAGGCGACGACGGGUAGCCGGCCUGAGAGGGUGACCGGCCACACUGGGACUGAGACACGGCCCAGACUCCUACGGGAGGCAGCAGUGGGGAAUAUUGCACAAUGGGCGCAAGCCUGAUGCAGCAACGCCGCGUGAGGGACGACGGCCUUCGGGUUGUAAACCUCUUUAGUAGGAAGAAGCGAAAGUGACGGUACCUGCAGAAAAGCACCGGCUAACUACGCGCCAGCAGCCGCGGU